AUACGGGGAGUGCAAGCGUUAUUCGGAUUUAUUGGGCGUAAAGAGCGCGUAGGCGGCUUGGUAAGUCAGAUGUGAAAGCCCGGGGCUCAACCCCGGAAGUGCAUUUGAAACUAUCAGGCUUGAGUAUGGGAGCGGGAAGUGGAAUUCCUGGUGUAGAGGUGAAAUUCGUAGAUAUCAGGAGGAACACCGGUGGCGAAGGCGACUUCCUGGACCAAUACUGACGCUGAGGCGCGAAGGCGUGGGGAGCGAACAGGAUUAGAAACCCCAGUAGUCC
rnacentral:rRNA from 1 species